rnacentral:rRNA from 1 species
AGAGUUUGAUCAUGGCUCAGAUUGAACGCUGGCGGCAGGCCUAACACAUGCAAGUCGAGCGGUAGCACAGAGAGCUUGCUCUCGGGUGACGAGCGGCGGACGGGUGAGUAAUGUCUGGGAAACUGCCUGAUGGAGGGGGAUAACUACUGGAAACGGUAGCUAAUACCGCAUAAUGUCGCAAGACCAAAGUGGGGGACCUUCGGGCCUCAUGCCAUCAGAUGUGCCCAGAUGGGAUUAGCUAGUAGGUGGGGUAACGGCUCACCUAGGCGACGAUCCCUAGCUGGUCUGAGAGGAUGACCAGCCACACUGGAACUGAGACACGGUCCAGACUCCUACGGGAGGCAGCAGUGGGGAAUAUUGCACAAUGGGCGCAAGCCUGAUGCAGCCAUGCCGCGUGUGUGAAGAAGGCCUUCGGGUUGUAAAGCACUUUCAGCGGGGAGGAAGGCGAUAAGGUUAAUAACCUCAUCGAUUGACGUUACCCGCAGAAGAAGCACCGGCUAACUCCGUGCCAGCAGCCGCGGUAAUACGGAGGGUGCAAGCGUUAAUCGGAAUUACUGGGCGUAAAGCGCACGCAGGCGGUCUGUCAAGUCGGAUGUGAAAUCCCCGGGCUCAACCUGGGAACUGCAUUCGAAACUGGCAGGCUAGAGUCUUGUAGAGGGGGGUAGAAUUCCAGGUGUAGCGGUGAAAUGCGUAGAGAUCUGGAGGAAUACCGGUGGCGAAGGCGGCCCCCUGGACAAAGACUGACGCUCAGGUGCGAAAGCGUGGGGAGCAAACAGGAUUAGAUACCCUGGUAGUCCACGCCGUAAACGAUGUCGAUUUGGAGGUUGUGCCCUUGAGGCGUGGCUUCCGGAGCUAACGCGUUAAAUCGACCGCCUGGGGAGUACGGCCGCAAGGUUAAAACUCAAAUGAAUUGACGGGGGCCCGCACAAGCGGUGGAGCAUGUGGUUUAAUUCGAUGCAACGCGAAGAACCUUACCUGGUCUUGACAUCCACAGAACUUAGCAGAGAUGCUUUGGUGCCUUCGGGAACUGUGAGACAGGUGCUGCAUGGCUGUCGUCAGCUCGUGUUGUGAAAUGUUGGGUUAAGUCCCGCAACGAGCGCAACCCUUAUCCUUUGUUGCCAGCGGUUCGGCCGGGAACUCAAAGGAGACUGCCAGUGAUAAACUGGAGGAAGGUGGGGAUGACGUCAAGUCAUCAUGGCCCUUACGACCAGGGCUACACACGUGCUACAAUGGCAUAUACAAAGAGAAGCGACCUCGCGAGAGCAAGCGGACCUCAUAAAGUAUGUCGUAGUCCGGAUUGGAGUCUGCAACUCGACUCCAUGAAGUCGGAAUCGCUAGUAAUCGUAGAUCAGAAUGCUACGGUGAAUACGUUCCCGGGCCUUGUACACACCGCCCGUCACACCAUGGGAGUGGGUUGCAAAAGAAGUAGGUAGCUUAACCUUCGGGAGGGCGCUUACCACUUUGUGAUUCAUGACUGGGGUGAAGUCGUAACAAGGUAACCGUAGGGGAACCUGCGGUUGGAUCACCU